CUUUUAUUCCCGUAUAUAAAUAUAUAAUAUAAUAAUAAUAAUAUAAUAUAUAAUAAAGCCAAUAAACUGAAAAGUUUACUGAGCAGACGAUCACAGAGCGGACCGGAGGAACGGCGCCGUCGCAGCCGCGCUGAGGAGGAACAGAAGGGGCGUGGCCUGAAGGAGAAGGGCGGAGCUCUUUAGUCUCACCUCCACAGUGUGUUUGCUGCUAAAAGACAUCAGACUCGUCAGAACGCCGACGAUGAAAAGAAACAACUUUGUGAUGAAUGAUGAAAGUUGACGUAUGAUGUGAUAUUAAUGUUCAUACAAGCUGAAGAUGAAUUUCUGGUGGACAAAUAAAGUUGUUUUGAUUUGAUUUAGUUUCUCAUAUCGUCGCCUCCUCAGAACACAAACAGGCAAAAUGAAACUUCUCUCUCUCGAUGAUGAACCAGAACCAGAAGAGACGUGAAAUAAACUUCAUUUGACUGAAGUGUUUUGUUU